UCCUUACUGAAGAACUGUUACGUUCUGUAUCUUUUGAUCUGAAAAAACCAAACAGUAAAUAUAGAAGUAUUUGUUGACAAGAAAUAAGGGAAAAUGUUUUUAUUGCCAAGAGCCUUUCCCCCUGGUUCACUGAAAUGUUUGCUUGUAUACAUCACUCCUGGCUUACUAGAGCCAACAAGACGGCAGGUCAAACAGAAGACAACAUGAACGUCUAACCUCAGGCACCAGUGGACACGUGUGGGACCCAGGCAGCUUCUUCAGGAUUCGGGUGUCAGGAAAAGGCGCCCGAAAUGCUGGUAGACCAGGUGGCUGGGGUGGCAUGGAUGGGGCUUGUGGACCUGGGUCUUUCAGAAGUGACCCGUAGCUCACUCCUGGAAGGCGUGAGUCAAGCAGGUGGUUCUGCGCACUAACGACGCUCUUCCACUGUUUCCCUAGGGAAGAUCCUUGUCCUUCAAAACCUUCCUCAUCUGGGUUUUAAUCAGUAUUUACCAAGGCGGCAUCCUCAUGUAUGGGGCCCUGGUGCUCUUCGAGUCUGAGUUCGUCCACGUGGUGGCCAUCUCCUUCACCGCACUGAUCCUGACCGAGCUGCUGAUGGUGGCGCUGACCGUCCGCACGUGGCACUGGCUGAUGGUGGUGGCCGAGUUCCUCAGCUUAGGCUGCUACGUGUCCUCACUCGCUUUUCUCAAUGAAUAUUUUGGUAAGUUGCCUUGGAAUUGUUUUUUGAAUCGUUCUCUAUUCAUGAUUUUGAAGUAUUUUCUUAUUGUUGCUUCUGAAUACGUUGUGUUAAGUUGUGGAUCAUGGUAAAACCCAUAUCAGAAAGUGCCUGCUCUUACUGUCCCUGCACCAUGGAUGAAGGCGCUAAGCCCCGUCG
rnacentral:sRNA from 1 species